rnacentral:rRNA from 1 species
UACGUAGGCAGCAAGCGUUGUUCGGAGUUACUGGGCGUAAAGGGUGCGUAGGCGGUCCUAUAAGUAUGGUGUGAAAUCUCCCGGCUUAACUGGGAGGGUGCGCUAUAGACUGUGGGACUAGAGUAUGGGAGAGGAAAGUGGAAUUCCUGGUGUAGCGGUGAAAUGCGUAGAUAUCAGGAGGAACACCGGUGGUGUAAACGGCUUUCUGGACCAUAACUGACGCUGAGGCACGAAAGCGUGGGUAGCAAACAGG